AUUGAACGCUGGCGGCAUGCCUUACACAUGCAAGUCGAACGGUAACAGGUCUUCGGAUGCUGACGAGUGGCGAACGGGUGAGUAAUACAUCGGAACGUGCCCGAUCGUGGGGGAUAACGAAGCGAAAGCUUUGCUAAUACCGCAUAAGAUCUAAGGAUGAAAGCAGGGGACCGCAAGGCCUUGCGCGAACGGAGCGGCCGAUGGCAGAUUAGGUAGUUGGUGGGAUAAAAGCUUACCAAGCCGACGAUCUGUAGCUGGUCUGAGAGGACGACCAGCCACACUGGGACUGGGACACGGCCCAGACUCCUACGGGAGGCAGCAGUGGGGAAUUUUGGACAAUGGGCGAAAGCCUGAUCCAGCCAUGCCGCGUGCAGGAUGAAGGCCUUCAGGUUGUAAACUGCUUUUGUACGGAACGAAAAGACUCUUUCUAAUAAAGAGGGUCCAUGACGGUACCGUAAGAAUAAGCACCGGCUAACUACGUGCCAGCCGCCGCCGUAA
rnacentral:rRNA from 1 species